AGCAGCAGCCGCGGGAAUACGAAGGGUGCAAGCGUUACUCGGAAUUACUGGGCGUAAAGCGUGCGUAGGUGGUGGUUUAAGUCUGUUGUGAAAUCCCCGGGCUCAACCUGGGAAUGGCAGUGGAUACUGGUUCGCUAGAGUGUGUCAGAGGAUGGUGGAAUUCCCGGUGUAGCGGUGAAAUGCGUAGAGAUCGGGAGGAACAUCAGUGGCGAAGGCGGCCAUCUGGGACAACACUGACGCUGAGGCACGAAAGCGUGGGGAGCAAACAGGAUUAGAUACCCCGGUAGUCCCUGUCUCUUAUAC
rnacentral:rRNA from 1 species